UGGGGUUUCACCAUGUUGGCCAGGCAGGUAUUGAACUCCUGACCUUGUGAUCUGCCUGCUUCGGCCUCCCAAAGUGCUGGGAUUAUAGGCAUGAUAAUCUGCCCCUUGACUGACUUUCUAAAGGCAGGGAUUUCGUAGUGUUUCUUUCAUGUGGCCUUUAGGAAGAAGCGUCCACUCUCAUUGUGUUUCACUUACCAGUUUGCUUUUAAAGAGCCAGGACCAGUCCACUAGCUGUGCGGAGUGCUGACCUCAUGGACAACAGCCCUGCCCUCAUAGGAUAUCUGAGCUUGUCAUAAUUCAGGUGGGCUCUGCAGGGAAGCAGGGGCUCAUGGGGAGUGGGAGGACGCUGGGGAGAAGAUGAGGUGUGAGUAGUCCGGUGUGAGGGAAAAUGGCGAUCCUGGGCCAACUUACGAUUAAGAGGGUCGAGUCCUGUGACUGCUGUGAAGUAACCAGGAUUUCAUAUAGAGAUGGGACUCAAAGUCAGCCCAGGUGCAGCAUGGUGGUCCCAGUGUCCUUUGGGAAAAGUGGGUCUUCAUAAGAUGAUGCUCGAAACCUUCCUACUUUGGUCAGUUCGGAGAACGACUAGAUGGCGAGAGAAGUCACCAACUCUGAGGUUUUGUGAAUUAGCAGCUGAGAGAUUACUUAUAUUGCAGGGAAAAGUAAAACCAUGAAGUUUGAAUUGGAAAAAGAGCAGAACUUUGGGAAAAUGUGAUAUGUAGGGACAUUUUUUGCAACCAACUUUUAGUCACAUAAUAAACCUUCAGCAAAAAGCUGAGAAUAGCAAUGAAAGGCAUCAAUGGAGAAAUUCCAGGAAAUGGUUGGCAAGGAAAAAUCUCAGUAAAAGCAAUAAAGAGC
rnacentral:lncRNA from 1 species